GGCGAGAUGGCCGAGCAGUCUGAGGCGCUAGAGUCAGGCUAAAUAUAGUCCGAAAGGGCGUGGGUUCGAAUCCCACUCUCGUCA
rfam:Moniliophthora roreri MCA 2997 sctg_0192_0003, whole genome shotgun sequence.